rnacentral:rRNA from 1 species
GUCAAGAGGGCAACAGCCCAGAUCGUCAGCUAAGGUCCCUAAAUGUAAGUUAAGUGGUAAAGGAUGUGGAAUUGCACAGACAACCAGGAUGUUGGCUUAGAAGCAGCCACUCAUUUAAAGAGUGCGUAAUAGCUCACUGGUCGAGUGAUUCUGCGCCGAAAAUUUCCGGGGCUAAAACUUACUACCGAAGCUACGGCAUCAUUAUGAUGGGUAGGGGAGCUUUCUAUGCGGCUUGAAGCAUGACCGUAAGGACAUGUGGACUGCAUAGAAGUGAGAAUGUUGGCAUGAGUAGCGAGAUGUGGGUGAGAAUCCCACAGGCCGUAAACCCAAGGUUUCCAGGGGAAGGUUCGUCCGCCCUGGGUUAGUCAGGACCUAAGCCGAGGCCGAAAGGCGUAGGUGAUGGACAACAGGUUGAUAUUCCUGUACCACCAAUAACCGUUUGAGAAAUGGGAUGACACAGUAGGAUAAGCUAACCGCACUGUUGGUUAUGUGCGGGCAAGUAUUGAGGCAGUUCCGAUAGGCAAAUCCGUCGGAAUAAUGCUGGGGUACGAUGCGGAGCGAAAUUUAGUAGCGAAGUAGCUGAUUUCACACUGUCGAGAAAAGUCUCUAUCGAGGUUAAAGGUGCCUGUACCGCAAACCGACACAGGUGGGUGAGGAGAGUAUCCUAAGGCCAGCGAGAGAACUGUUGUUAAGGAACUCGGCAAAAUGACCCCGUAACUUAGGGAGAAGGGGUGCCUUCGAAAGAAGGCCGCAGAGAAUAGGCCCAAGCGACUGUUUACCAAAAACAUAGGUUUCUGCUAAGUCGCAAGACGAUGUAUAGGAGCUGACGCCUGCCCGGUGCUGGAAGGUUAAGGGGAUCUGUUAGAGCAAUCGAAGCAGUGAACUUAAGCCCCAGUAAACGGCGGCCGUAACUAUAACGGUCCUAAGGUAGCGAAAUUCCUUGUCGGGUAAGUUCCGACCCGCACGAAAGGCGUAACGAUUUGGGCACUGUCUCAACAACAGACUCGGUGAAAUUGUAAUACCGGUGAAGAUGCCGGUUACCUGCGACAGGACGGAAAGACCCCAUGGAGCUUUACUGUAGCUUGACAUUGAGUCUCGGUGCUACAUGUACAGGAUAGGUGGGAGACUAUGAAGCAUGGACGUCAGUCUGUGUGGAGUCAUCCUUGGGAUACCACCCUUGUAGUACUGGGAUUCUAACCAGAGGCCAUGAAUCUGGUCUUGGGACACUGUCAGGUGGACAGUUUGACUGGGGCGGUCGCCUCCCAAAAAGUAACGGAGGCGCUCAAAGGUUCUCUCAGUACGGUCGGAAAUCGUACGAAGAGUGUAAAGGCAAAAGAGAGCUUGAUUGCAAGACAUACAGGUCGAGCAAGGACGAAAGUCGGACUUAGUGAUCCGGUGGUUCCGCAUGGAAGGGCCAUCGCUCAACGGAUAAAAGCUACCCUGGGGAUAACAGGCUGAUCUCCCCCAAGAGUCCACAUCGACGGGGAGGUUUGGCACCUCGAUGUCGGCUCAUCACAUCCUGGGGCUGUAGUAGGUCCCAAGGGUUGGGCUGUUCGCCCAUUAAAGUGGUACGCGAGCUGGGUUCAGAACGUCGUGUGACAGUUCGGUCCCUAUC